UCCGUCUCCUUGAGAUCCUAGUGGUUUCAGUAGCCGUCUUUGUUUCCCUGUGACAUGCAGAUACUGGGAGAUCUGUGGAGAGGACACCGGGACAUCUCUGAAGCUGUGAAAUGUUUUUGACCGGGGCUGGGUUUCAACCCUCCACCUCCUGCAUACAGGGCUGGCACCAUACUCCUUUGAGCCACAGGCCUCCCAGAAUGAGCAGUAGGGAACUUCAGUAUUUAAACAUGAGAAGGCAUACAGAAGAACUAGGGCAAUGGAUACUGAGGAACUGUUGACAUUCAGAGAUGUGUCUAUAGAAUUCUCCAUGGAUGAGUGGGACUGCCUGGACCCUGCUCAGCAGAAUUUGUAUCGGGAUGUCAUGUUAGAGACCUACAGUCACCUGGUCUUCCUAGGGCUUGCCAUCUCUAAGCCUGAGCUCAUCACCUGUCUGGAGCAAAGGAAAGAACCCUGGAAGGUGAAGACUCACCAGACAGUGCUCAAGCACCCAGAGCCUCAAGCUGUCACCCUGGGUAGCGUGCUAUGGCAUCACAACUCACAGCAACCUCCAACUCCUGGGCUGAAAUGAUUCUCCUGACUCCGCCUCU